UAGGAACAUCUCACAGUACUU
rnacentral:snRNA from 1 species